GACGAACGCUGGCGGCGUGCUUAACACAUACAAGUCGAACGGAAAGGCCCUGCUUUUGUGGGGUGCUCGAGUGGCGAACGGGUGAGUAGCACGUGAGUAACCUGCCCUUGACUUUGGGAUAACUUCAGGAAACUGGGGCUAAUACCGGAUAGGAGCUCCUGCUGCAUGGUGGGGGUUGGAAAGUUUCGGCGGUUGGGGAUGGACUCGCGGCUUAUCAGCUUGUUGGUGGGGUAGUGGCUUACCAAGGCUUUGACGGGUAGCCGGCCUGAGAGGGUGACCGGCCACAUUGGGACUGAGAUACGGCCCAGACUCCUACGGGAGGCAGCAGUGGGGAAUAUUGCACAAUGGGCGGAAGCCUGAUGCAGCAACGCCGCGUGCGGGAUGACGGCCUUCGGGUUGUAAACCGCUUUCGCCUGUGACGAAGCGUGAGUGACGGUAAUGGGUAAAGAAGCACCGGCUAACUACGUG
rnacentral:rRNA from 1 species